rfam:Achromatium sp. WMS3 contig-199_726, whole genome shotgun sequence.
UAUUAGAUAGCUCAAUGGUAGAGCAACUGACUAAUAAUCAGUUUGGCGUAGGUUCGA